UAACUGCAGGCUGGCUGGAGCCCAGGCUGGCCUGGGCGAGUAUCUCUUCCAAAGUCUCACCCUCAAGCAGGACUAGGAGA
rnacentral:pre_miRNA from 1 species